GGUUGAUCCUGCCAGUAGUCAUAUGCUUGUCUCAAAGAUUAAGCCAUGCAUGUCUAAGUAUAAACUGCUUUAUACUGUGAAACUGCGAAUGGCUCAUUAAAUCAGUUAUAGUUUAUUUGAUGGUACCUUACUACUCGGAUAACCGUAGUAAUUCUAGAGCUAAUACGUGCGCACAUCCCGACUCCUGGAAGGGACGUAUUUAUUAGAUAAAAGGCCGACCGGACCUAGUCCGACUCGCGGUGAAUCAUGAUAACUUCACGAAUCGCACGGCCUCGCGCCGGCGAUGUUUCAUU
rnacentral:rRNA from 1 species